CAGUGUUAAAAAGGCAGAAAAAACCCUGAUGGUCAAGUUUUCCACUCUUCCUCUUCUAAUGGUCUGGCAAUAUAUUCUCUCCAUGUUCUUCUCCUGUGCCUAUUUAAUGUUCUCUACAUCCCUUGCUAGUGAUGAUGAAACAAAUGCUCUUUUAAAGUGGAAAGCUAGCCUUGAUAACUAAAGCCAAGCUUCCUUGUCUUCUUGGACUAAUGGCUCUAAUCCUUGCAACCAUUAGGUAGGAAUUACCUAUGAUGAAUCCAUGUCCAUCUCCAUCAUGAAUCUCUAAGGUUUUGGUCUAAAAGUUUGACUGAGUAUGCUGUUGAAAAGAGAAAGUUUGUGGUCAAAAGGGCCAAACUUACAGCAGUGGUGGUUCCCCAAUUGCAGGAACGCCUUUGAUGGUUUGAUUGUUUCCACCAGGUGACAAGCGGAAGUAAUAGUAAAUAGUGAGUUUAAACAAGUGGAAUUAAAUAAUGAAUGAGAGAGUAGUGAUGAUUGAACAAGUCUUUUAUAGAUUCCUAUAUCUUAUGAGUUGCCAUUGAAGGAUGUUGUAGACAGGCGUCUUCCACCACCCACAAAGUUGCCGAUGAAGUGAUAUCAACUGCAAAAUGAGCACUUGCUUGCAUGAAUGAAAACCCACGUUCUCGUCCAACUAUGGAACAUGUAUCUAUGAAUCUUAUGAAGAGAAAGCCUUAUUUAGUAGACCAGUUUGACAUCAUCACACUAGGAAAACUUAUGAUUGUAUAUUGAACUUCUUAAGUGAAUUGUGCGACUCAUGGAUGUCUUGUGCUUUUUUGGCAUUCAAAUCCUAUAAAUUGUUGAUUUCUUGAA